rnacentral:rRNA from 1 species
GGUGGUUUGUCGCGUUGUUCGUGAAAACUCACAACUCAAUUGUGGGCGUGCGGGCGAUACGGGCAGACUGGAGUACUGCAGGGGAGACUGGAAUUCCUGGUGUAGCGGUGGAAUGCGCAGAUAUCAGGAGGAACACCGGUGGCGAAGGCGGGUCUCUGGGCAGUAACUGACGCUGAGGAGCGAAAGCGUGGGGAGCGAACAGGAUUAGAUACCCUGGUAGUCCACGCCGUAAACGGUGGGUACUAGGUGUGGGUUUCCUUCCUUGGGAUCCGUGCCGUAGCUAACGCAUUAAGUACCCCGCCUGGGGAGUACGGCCGCAAGGCUAAAACUCAAAGGAAUUGACGGGGGCCCGCACAAGCGGCGGAGCAUGUGGAUUAAUUCGAUGCAACGCGAAGAACCUUACCUGGGUUUGACAUGCACAGGACGCCGGCAGAGAUGUCGGUUCCCUUGUGGCCUGUGUGCAGGUGGUGCAU